rnacentral:rRNA from 1 species
GACGAACGUUGGCGGCGUGCUUAAUACAUGCAAGUCAACUGAAGCAGAGGUAGUAAUAUCUCUGUGGAGGUGGCGCACGGGUGAGUAACACGUAGGUAAUCUGCCUUCAGGUCUGACAUAACCCCGAGAAAUCGGGGCUAAUAGCAGAUGAUGCAGCGGCUUGACAUCAAGACAGUUGUUAAAGCUUCGGCGCCUGAAGAUGAGCCUGCGCUGAUUAGCUAGUUGGCGGAGUAACAGCCCACCAAGGCUACGAUCAGUAGCUGGUCUGAGAGGAUGAUCAGCCACACUGGAACUGAGACACGGUCCAGACUCCUACGGGAGGCAGCAGUAAGGAAUAUUNCUCAAUGGGAGAAAUCCUGAAGCAGCAACGCCGCGUGAGGGAUGAAGGGUC